GUAAAUGAUAGAGUAUAAUGACUAAGGUAGCAAAAUCCAUUGACGUUUAAUUGAUGUCGCGCAUGAAUGAUGUAACGAUUGUCUUGCUGUCUCCAACCUGGAUUCUGUGAAAUUGAAUUGCCCGUGCAGAUGCGGGAUACGUGUUAGAGGGACGAUAAGACCCCGCAGCACCUUAAC
rnacentral:rRNA from 1 species